UGGAGGGCGCAGCUAACACAUGCAAGUCGAGCGGAUGAGGGUAGCUUGCUACCUGAUUCAGCGGCGGACGGGUGAGUAAUGCCUAGGAAUCUGCCCGGUAGUGGGGGACAACGUUUCGAAAGGAACGCUAGUACCGCAUACGUCCUACGGGAGAAAGUGGGGGAUCUUCGGACCUCACGCUAUCGGAUGAGCCUAGGUCGGAUUAGCUAGUUGGUGAGGUAAUGGCUCACCAAGGCGACGAUCCGUAACUGGUCUGAGAGGAUGAUCAGUCACACUGGAACUGAGACACGGUCCAGACUCCUACGGGAGGCAGCAGUGGGGGAUAUUGGACAAUGGCGAAAGCCUGAUCCAGCCAUGCCGCGUGUGUGAAGAAGGUCUUCGGAUUGUAAAGCACUUUAAGUUGGGAGGAAGGGCAGUAAGUUAAUACCUUGCUGUUUUGACGUUACCAACAGAAUAAGCACCGGCUAACUUCGUGCCAGCAGCCGCGGUAAUACGAAGGGUGCAAGCGUUAAUCGGAAUUACUGGGCGUAAAGCGCGCGUAGGUGGUUCAGCAAGUUGGAUGUGAAAGCCCCGGGCUCAACCUGGGAACUGCAUCCAAAACUACUGAGCUAGAGUACGGUAGAGGGUGGUGGAAUUUCCUGUGUAGCGGUGAAAUGCGUAGAUAUAGGAAGGAACACCAGUGGCGAAGGCGACCACCUGGACUGAUACUGACACUGAGGUGCGAAAGCGUGGGGAGCAAACAGGAUUAGAUACCCUGGUAGUCCACGCCGUAAACGAUGUCAACUAGCUGUUGGGUUCCUUGAGAACUUAGUAGCGCAGCUAACGCGAUAAGUUGACCGCCUGGGGAGUACGGCCGCAAGGUUAAAACUCAAAUGAAUUGACGGGGGCCCGCACAAGCGGUGAACAUGUGGUUUAAUUCGAAGCAACGCGAGACCUUACCUGGCCUGACAUGCUGAGAACUUUCCAGAGAUGGAUUGGUGCCUUCGGGAACCUCAGACAC
rnacentral:rRNA from 1 species